CAGAGAUCUGAAUGUGUAGUGCAUAAAAUAUCCAAAAGAAUAUUCUACCACUGCUGAAAAAGACAUUUCAAUACUUGGAGGCCAAGAAUUCCUCUGGUUUGUUUGAGCUCUGUGCGAGGGUAUGUUACAAAUUGCUAUGCGCAUAGGUUAUAAAUUGUGAGAGCACGGUGAUGGAGAAGUGUUUCAAUUCAACAUUAAAUGUAUUGCACGAUGUCAUAAAAAAUGUUCAUGACAACUUUGUGGCUAUCUUGAAACUAUAAACCCCAGAUGUGCUUCCCAGCUGGAAGGCAAAGGCAAAAAAGCUCUGGAAGGCCCUGGACGAUCUGUAGGCUGAGACCCAGCUAUGCAGGUACAAAACUUCAGUCUUGUCCCAUGUUCUCCUGCAUCCCAAAUAUGUUAAGUACAGAAAACUGACUCUUGCUUAAAAAAAGAUUGAGAGUUGUGGGGUGAUGCUUCAGUUUUCCCUCAGCUCCUCAGAAUCCCAGAAUUGAGCCAGGCUUUUUGGAAUAUUUGGACCAAAUCCAAUCCACCUCUGGAGAUGUGGAUACCUUGGUGCACUGUAUUUUCGAAUCUCACCACAUGUGGACAUCACAUAUAAUGGCAUAUGUGCUGUAUUGCAGCUUAUACUGCUCUAUGUUGCUACUGGAGACAUUGUGCUGAAGUGUCAUUCGGAAUAAGUACCGUAAGUGUAUCUACAGCUGUAGGAACCAAAUAUCAGCAGGCAAUAAUCCAUGCUAUACUAGUAAAGCUUUGUACAGUAACAGUGAUAAACACAGAUCAGAGGCAGACUACAUGCUAUUUUUAUGAUACAUAUUAUUAUUUUGAUACCUUCUCCACUUGACAGUUAGAGGAAUGAUGGGAUGAGUGUUGAUAUUUCCAUAGUAGUAUUAUGUCACAUGUUAAAUCUCUGCCAACCAAACUGUGAAGUCAGGCAUUACUAUUUCAGAUUUACUCUGACUAGUUAAAACUCAUGAAUUCUGUCUUGGGGAUUACUUCUCUUUAUCACAAAUGAGUUUACUCUACCUAUGCUUACCUUUUCCUACAAAAACUUUCUUUUUUUCAAUUGCUAUCAGCAACGGUUCCUUUACUUGAUUGUCUUGCAUUUUACCAGAUGAACUUCUCUGACGUGAGUGUUCAUGUGGAGCUAAUAGAAAACACUCUUUCUCUUAAAUAUUUACAUCUCUAAACCAUAUUUACUUCUACUAAAUAUUUU